rnacentral:rRNA from 1 species
UACGUAGGAUGCAAGCGUUGUCCGGAAUUAUUGGGCGUAAAGGGCGCGUAGGCGGUCCGAUAAGUCCUGUGUGAAAUCCCUCGGCUCAACUGAGGAACUGCACGGGAGACUGCCGGGCUUGAGUUCGGGAGAGGGAAGCGGAAUUCCGGGUGUAGCGGUGAAAUGCGUAGAUAUCCGGAGGAACACCGGUGGCGAAGGCGGCUUCCUGGACCGACACUGACGCUGAGGCGCGAAAGCUAGGGGAGCAAACGGG